CUGCAAUUUUCGGAUUAUUACUUUGAGUAAAAUACUUUAGCUAUCUCAUAUUCAAUUUCUUUACCUAGUUUCUGAAUUCCUUCACUCUGUAUUGCAGGUGACUGACAGAUCCUGGUCCCCCACUGGGACAGGACUAACCUAUGUGGACAUUUCUCUGAGCAAGGAAGGAGACAUUUCCUAAAAAACUGUGUUCAAGAUCUGCUUUCAUUUGAACCUGUCCUGAAGUCAAAGAAGUUAAUGUGGCUUCAUCUGAGCAGAAUUUUGUCUAAAAUCUUCAUUACAUGCCAAUUCCAAAAGGAUAAUUCAUAGUUAAGGCCUCUGAACACAUUUAAAAUAAUCCUCUUUUGCUUCAUAUAAUGAAUAGAAUAGAUGGAAUUGCUUUCCCAGACUUUCUGAGGAAACUGAAGCAAUGCUUUAAAGUUUUAACAGCUUUUAUUUCUCUCUUCAAAUCUUAACCCAGUAUCAAAUAUUAAAGUCCCAAUAUAUUUAAGGAAAGCAGAAGUUGCUGUUAUAAUUAAUUUCCUAUCUGAGGGGAAAAAAAAAAGUAAUUGCUAACCACUUUUGGAAAGAAAAGUAAUCCUUUAAAAGAAAACCAGAGCAAAUGUGUACACGUGUACAAAAAUCUCUCUUUUUUCCCUUAAGCCUCAGCUACGUUUGUUGUACUUUAACAAAAAGACGUAAUUCGAUUUGAGGAUGCCAUGCCACAUUGAGAACAUAAAAGAACAAAAUGCAUUGAAAACAUAAAACUUCCAGAUUCCACAAUCUACAUACACUCUAUUGAGUAUAUCCCUGCGUUGGGAAACAGGCUGAGAAGUAAAAAUAUUUCCUGAGCACACAGAAAUUUCUACCAGAUCUCCACCUUGGUAAAUAAGUAUCUAAUUUCAGCCCAAGUGCAGGCUUUGAAGUUUAAUGCAAGUAAGAGGCUGGGAAGUAUAUAACGUAGUAGAGAAAGCUGGCAUCAAAAUAUCUAAUCAGCUAUUUGCUUUUCUUUCAAAUACACCAGCUCAGUUGCAGGCUUGUACUGAUCACCUGGAAAAGCAUGCAAUAAUUUCAUGAAAUCAUACUGGAAGAGGAAAAGGACGAUUUCACUGGUAGGCAAGAGAAACAUUUGUAAAGAAAUAUUUUCCCAUUUUUUGCCAUCAGAAGGGCUACCAUUUCAAGUGUUCGCCUCCUUAGGGAUCUCCCUUGAUAAAUGGAUACCACGUUUGACAAAUGGCUCGUCUCUAUGCUCCAGGAAGGAGUGAAACAGGAUGAGCUCAGUGUAUCUGCUCAGGGUCCUGGGAGCGAUGCACUCCUUUAUGAAGUUUGGGCUGGAGAUAUCCCUCACGUGUUGUCAACAUCAAGCCCAAGGGUUGAGAUGGGCUGAUGGCUGAUGACUCAAUUUCUGCAACCACACACCCUCACUUUCCUCAUCUAGCAAGGAUAUGUUGCAGGAUGAAGAGUCUUUGAAUUAGAAAUCAUUGUUUGUUUGUUUUGAAGGAUAGAAUUUUGGAAUAAAUAACAAAUUCCAAAGAACAGAGCCAUCCCUUAUGUAUGCAGUAUAUGAAGAGCUUCAAAAUUAUUAUUAUGUUCCAGUUUGCUUAGACAUUCAAAAAGUCAAUGGAGACAUCUGGUGCUUUUGCAGCUAGAUGAGCACACAAAAAUACAGUAACAAUAGGAAAAAAAAGGAGAAUACCCAACAAUUAGGCCACAGCUGGAAGCAAAAUGAUGUCUGACAUAACCAUGACAUACCAUGUCACCUGUUUUGAUCUACCCUUCUGUAUGCUGUAACCUUUUUUCUUCCUCUCUUUUUCAACUUUAUCAAAGAUUCAUUUAAAAUACUAAUGUUCUUCACUCUAUUAUUUGAAGUUAAAAGAAACAUAUGGUGCUUUGCAACAAAAGAUAAUUAGAUUUCUUGUCUGCCUUCAGUAUUAUAGUUUUUAAUGCACUUUAAUGGAGUUUACAAAUAGAAUAGGCAAAAUUAAUGAUAGAAAAGUUAAGAGGUUUGAAAUGAGAAUUUCUGAAUUUCUGGGUUUGUUUCCUGUCUUAUGGUCUAUCUACUGCAGCAUCCUGUGCUCCUUUAGGCAUUGCUCACUUCUGCUUCAGAAGAAUGAUAAAUUUGCUGGUGCUGGAAAGAACAAAUCAGAACAGUAUCUUCCUCCUAAGCACUGCAGAUAACUGCAGCAUAGGGCCUAGAGCACAAUGACUUGUAGCCCUUUCAUUCUAUCCCUGUUCAGUGUUACAGUCAGCAUUCACUUCAUCCACAGCAGAGAUGAAUCAUCACCUUGAAUCCUUCUAAGGUUGUCCUAAGCAUAAUGUUUGAAAUGAUUCCAGCAAAUUACAUAUGCAUGGUGCAAAAAUGAGUCCAUUUUAUUUUAUAUUUUUCCUUCUCAAAGUAAUGCUGACAAUGUGACUGAGUAAUAAUUUAUAGCAAGAUCAUAAGAACUGUAAAUAAUCUGAUCUAUUGGCAUAUUACCCACUAAUAAUGUGUAGAGAUUUUGAUACAUUUUUUUCGACUCAUAGGAGGACGUGAGUGAGAAUGGUUUGAUGCAAGAUGUGAAAGGACUGCUUGUGCAUCUGCUGUGCUCACCUCAGUCUGUGCUUAGAAUGGAAAGGAAACCUGCAUGUUAGGAGAAGAAAGUAAAAUUCUCUACAAACUUACUAAAACUAAAUCAUGGUGAUAUUUUUACAUAUGACAUAUAUUUUUGAAAAGAAAAAAUUAAAAAAAAAAAAGAAGAAGAGGAAAAAGAAAAAAGAAAGGAAAAGUAACUGGAAAUCUUGUUUUUUGGCUUUCAGUAAAGCAUCUGAUGUGAUACACUGUAGAGAAUUCAGGUGUUGAUGAAGUCAUCAGCUUGACAUAUGAAAAUGCAACAUAUAGUAUUCAGUAGGAUUCUGCCUGUAAGCCACUCUGUAGGGCAUUAGAAAAACAGCAACUGCAGCCUUUUUUUCCAGUGAAGGUGAUAAAAUAUUUAGGCUACUGAAUGCAUCUCUGAAGUGGAUUGCUGCCUGCAUUACCUGUUGUCUAUCUUCAGAUAAGACAAAUCUAGACUGGAAUAGAUACAGAGAAGGGGUAAAAGAUUAGUAGAUGAGAAGAGCUUGUUUACAGUGACUCAUGUCUUUUAAAACAUUGAAUGGGAGGAGGUAUAAUUACACCUGAUAAUUCAUUUUCUGAAGUGAUUAGUGACAUAACCUUUUCAAAUCCAAACUCAAAAAUACGUGGAUCAUAGUAUCAAGGUUUGUGUUCAAGAGGAGCAGCUUUCAUUUGCAACUGAAGUGACAGUGAGUGCAUCACAACUUUUGUUAUAGGAAUCAAAUAUACUUUAGUCCUCUCUAAAGGAAGGCAAAAUACAGCCUUGCAUAUUUUUUUCCUUAAAUUCAGCGUGACCUCUGCCUAAAUUGAUUUAAUCAUUAAAAUAAUAUUGUAUCAUUUCUCUUACUUGUUUACUGAUUUCAUUUUGUGAAGAAUUUUGCAUUACUUUUGCAUCAUUUUUGCAUCAGCGUGUUAUCAACAACUGUUUUAUAAAUUUGUAAGAUAAAACUUUAGAUCACUGGUCUUCUUGGCUAAGAGGACAUGGAUAAAGUUGUUUUGUUGUUUUUUUUUUAAUUUUACGUGAUAUUUUAAAAUAUGAAAAAUGCAUUGGCUAUAAAAUUUUAUAUGUCUUCAUGUUUUUGUGCAGAUUCUCAGCUGAUACAUUUACAUUGCAUUUGACUCUGGGUAAUUUGAUGUCAUUAUUCUCUUACACAGUAAUAUGAAAAGUACAUAUAAGGCUUUUUUACUAAGGUUUACAAAAAUUCUUUCUACCAAGUAUGUGAUUUUUAGUCAUUAAUGAAUUCCAAGGUUUACUUAUGAGGUGUUGUAGGCAAAACUACAGGAUUUCAUACCUUGCUUGGAGAACAAUGAAUAACUUCAAGUCUGUUUGUAACCCAUCUUAGUCUACAUUUAAGAUGGAAAAGAUUAAAAUGGAAAACAGGAUUAUUACAGAAAGUCUUUAGAAAUGGAUAAAAUAAGGGGAAAAAAUUGAUCAAUUAAUCAAGUAAUAAUAGCAUUGAAUUUAAGCUUUAAACUAGUACAAGCACCAACAGAAUAAGUCAUUGCAUUCAGUGGAUCCUGAACUAUGCAUAAGAGAGAAGCUCUGCAGAUGACCACAGGGAUAUAUAUGUAUUCCAAUAAUAUAAUUGUCUUAUACAAUAAGUUAUAUUGUUCUUAAUACUUCCACAAAUAUUUGCAUGGAAUAAUUUGACUGCUAAUUACUAAUGAUUCCCAGGGUUUAUGUCGUUCCGAGGCACUGAUCCUCCAGAAGGAGGGGGACAAGAACACAAGUAAAGAGGCUGCAGAAUGAAACAUCAAAUUUCCCCUUUGAAAACAAAGAAGAAAUCAGGAGUUGGCAAGAAAAAAAUAAAAACAACCAAACAACUCAGUGCUUAAAAUGGCAUUUGUGGAGACCUGGUGACAAGGAUCUUUUAAAACUUGAUUGAGAGAAAAAAAAAAAAAGGAAAAGAAACAUAUCCACCUCUUACCAGCACAACAGCAAGGAGGCCAGAUGAAAUCCUGUUACAUGGCUGCCUUUUGAAGGAUUUAAUUGCUCCAAGGAUUCAUGCUUACACAGUAUUCUCCACCUCCUAGAAACCACCGUAAGUCCUACUUUAAUAAUGCUAUUCUUUGAUGAGAAUAUUUCACGACCUGUGUAAAGUGGGUUAGGACUUUCCUCAUUCCCUUGUCAACACAUAUGAAUUCUGGCCAAUAUAAAUGUCCUGUCUUAUUGGCAGGGACCAAAGAAAAAUCAGACGUACUGAGACGAUUGCAAAUGAAGGACUUUUAUAGCUAAGUAAGUAAUAGUUUAUUCUUCCAAAAACCAGAAUAUUUUGGAGGAAAACAUGGAGAUCAAGACAACAAUUUUUGGCUGCUAUUGCUUAUAUUAUGUCUGUUUUGUGGGUAAACAAUAGCUCCAAAGCUGUUUUUCAAAUAAGGAGAUAAGGGUCUUCUUCUGCCCUGGUGAAUGGUUAAAAACAUAGAGCCAGAAAUGUGCUUAUAAUUCCCAUGAAAAGUAGGAUGAAGGUGGUUUCUGAGGGCUCACAGAGGUCAUAAUAAGAAAGCAGU